CAGGUUUCAAGAUGUUUCAUAUGUGAUUGAAGUGGAUAACUGUCUAACUGUGUUUCUCAAUAGUGUCAAGGUCUUUCAGUUUGCAGGUGAAACUCUGGUUCAUUCCAUUCUGGUUUCCUCACCAAAACAAGUUGGAGCAGUCAAAGAAUCUGACCCACUGUCCACAUCGGAUAUGUCAAUCGAUGCGACUGAGACCGAAGAGUCAUUACCAGACCUUGACUCCAUGGAUGACAUGAGUGAGACAGAAGAACUUCACAGCAGAAAACUUGAGGGACAACCUGGCACAGCCGAAGGCAGAGAACCUGAGAGACAACCUGGAGCAUCAGUUGAUGGAGAAAUGGACAGAGAAGUGAGCAUAGUACUUGGUGGACAACUUGAAGAGA